AAAUUAAUCAGUAGCGAUAAUUUGGAGUGAUGUACACUUUUAAUAAAACUUUUAUACGCAUAUUUAGCAAUCGAGGGAUUCCCGAUCAAUUAGGCACCGUUUUUACCAUAAUAAUGAUUAUGAAAACUCAAAAAGGAAAUAUAUAUUUUUACAAGUGUAUUUUUAUGGAAAUUAAUAAUAAAACCCUAUAAUAAA